GGAAACGACGGCUAAUACCGCAUAAUCUCUACGGAGCAAAGGGGGCUUCGGCUCUCGCCUUUAGAUUGGCCCAAGUGGGAUUAGCUAGUUGGUGGGGUAAUGGCUCACCAAGGCGACAAUCCCUAGCUGGUUUGAGAGGAUGAUCAGCCACACUGGGACUGAGACACGGCCCAGACUCCUACGGGAGGCAGCAGUGGGGAAUAUUGCACAAUGGGCGCAAGCCUGAUGCAGCCAUGCCGCGUGUGUGAAGAAGGCCUUCGGGUUGUAAAGCACUUUCAGCAAGGAGGAAAGGGUGUAAGUUAAUACCUUGCAUCUGUGACGUUACUUGCAGAAAAAGCACCGGCUAACUCCGUGCCAGCAGCCGCGGUAAUACGGAGGGUGCGAGCGUUAAUCGGAAUUACUGGGCGUAAA
rnacentral:rRNA from 1 species